rnacentral:rRNA from 1 species
GUCGAGCGAACAGAUGAAGUGCUUGCACUUCUGACGUUAGCGGCGAACGGGUGAGUAACACGUAAGGAAUCUACCUAUAAGCGGGGGAUAACAUUCGGAAACGGGUGCUAAUACCGCAUAAUAUCUUCUUCCGCAUGGAAGAAGAUUGAAAGACGGCUCUGCUGUCACUUAUAGAUGACCUUGCGGUGCAUUAGUUAGUUGGUGGGGUAACGGCCUACCAAGACGAUGAUGCAUAGCCGACCUGAGAGGGUGAUCGGCCACAUUGGGACUGAGACACGGCCCAAACUCCUACGGGAGGCAGCAGUAGGGAAUCUUCCGCAAUGGGCGAAAGCCUGACGGAGCAAUGCCGCGUGAGUGAAGAAGGCCUUCGGGUCGUAAAACUCUGUUAUAAGAGAAGAACAAAUUGUAGAGUAACUGCUACAGUCUUGACGGUAUCUUAUCAGAAAGCCACGGCUAACUACGUGCCAGCAGCCGCGGUAAUACGUAGGUGGCAAGCGUUGUCCGGAUUUAUUGGGCGUAAAGGGAGCGCAGGUGGUUUCUUAAGUCUGAUGUGAAAGCCCACGGCUUAACCGUGGAGGGUCAUUGGAAACUGGGAAACUUGAGUACAGAAGAGGAAUGUGGAACUCCAUGUGUAGCGGUGGAAUGCGUAGAUAUAUGGAAGAACACCAGUGGCGAAGGCGACAUUCUGGUCUGUUACUGACACUGAGGCUCG